rnacentral:rRNA from 1 species
GUACCAGCCACUCAGGCAAAUCCGGGUGGCAAUGGGAAGCCGUGAUGCGGAGCGAAAUACAAGUAGCGAAGUCCGUGAGCCAUGCGUCAAGAAAAGCCGCUAUUGUUUAUACCGUACCCGUACCGUAAACCGACACAGGUGGAUGAGGAGAGAAUCCUAAGGCCGGCGGAAGAAGCAUUGUCAAGGAACUCGGCAAAAUGACCCCGUAACUUCGGGAGAAGGGGUGCCACUGAGAAGUGGCCGCAGAGAAUAGGCUCAAGCAACUGUUUAGCAAAAACACAGGUCUAUGCGAAACCGAAAGGUGAGGUAUAUGGGCUGACGCCUGCCCGGUGCUGGAAGGUUAAGAGGAGAGGUUAGCGCAAGCGAAGCUUUGAAUUUAAGCCCCAGUAAACGGCGGCCGUAACGAUAACGGUCCUAAGGUAGCGAAAUUCCUUGUCGGGUAAGUUCCGACCCGCACGAAAGGCGUAAUGAUUUGAGCGCUGUCUCGACAAUGCAUCCGGUGAAAUUGAAGUACCAGUGAAGAUGCUGGUUACCUGCGCCAGGACGGAAAGACCCCAUGGAGCUUUACUCCAGUUUGGUACUGGGGUCCGGUAUUGCAUGUACAGGAUAGGUGGGAGGCUAGGAAGCAGUAACGCCAGUUGCUGCGGAGCCGCUGUUGGGAUACCACCCUUGCAGUACUGGGCUUCUAACCAGCCGCCGUGAACCGGCGGUGGGACAAUGCCAGACGGGGAGUUUGACUGGGGCGGUCGCCUCCGAAAGGGUAUCGGAGGCGCCCAAAGGUUCCCUCAGAAUGGACGGAAACCAUUCGAAGAGUGCAAAGGCAGAAGGGAGCUUGACUGCGACACCGACGGGUGGAGCAGGUACGAAAGUAGGGCUUAGUGAUCCGGUGGUAUUAAGUGGGAAUGCCAUCGCUCAACGGAUAAAAGCUACCCUGGGAUAACAGGCUUAUCACUCCCAAGAGUUCACAUCGACGGAGUGGUUUGGCACCUCGAUGUCGGCUCAUCGCAUCCUGGGGCUGUAGUAGGUCCCAAGGGUUGGGCUGUUCGCCCAUUAAAGCGGUACGCGAGCUGGGUUCAGAACAUCGUGAGACAGUUCGGUCCCUAUCCGGCGUGGGCGUAGGAUAUCUGAGAGGAGCUGUCCUUAGUACGAGAGGACCGGGAUGGACGGACCGCUGGUGUACCGGUUAGACUGCCAAGUCUACGGCCGGGUAGCCAAGUCCGGAAGGGAUAAACGCUGAAGGCAUCUAAGCGUGAAGCCCCCCUCAAGAUGAGAUGUCCCAUUCGAAAGAAGUAAACCCCCUUGAAGACGACGAGGUAGAUAGGGCAGGGGUGGAAGUGCAGUAAUGCACGGAGCUGACUGUUACUAAUAGGGUGAGGGCUUGAC